rnacentral:rRNA from 1 species
GACGAACGCUGGCGGCGUGCUUAACACAUGCAAGUCGAGCGGAGCGGCGAACGGGUGAGUAACGUGUGAGUAACUGCCCCCCUCUCUGGGAUCACAGUUGGAAACGGCUGCUAAUACCGGAUAGUGGGGGAUGUCUCUCGUCCUAUCAGCUUUUUGGUUGGGUAGUGGCCUACCAAGGCGACGCCGGGUAGCCGGCCUGGGAGGGCGACCGGCCACAAGGGGCUGAGAUACGGCCCAAACUCCAACGGGAGGCAGCGGUGGGGAAUAUUGCACAAUGGGGGAAACCCUGAUGAAGCAACGCCGCGGUCGGGAUGACGGCCUUCGGGUUGUAAACCGCUUUCAGCCAUGACGCGGUAGUGGCAGAAGAAGCACCGGCUAACUACGUGCCAGCAGCCGCGGUAAUUC